UGGGGGAUAUUGCACAAUGGGCGAAAGCCUGAUGCAGCGACGCCGCGUUGGGGAUGAAGGCUUUCGGGUUGUAAACCUCUUUCGCUAUCGAACAAGGCCCGCUUAGGGUGGGUUGAGGGUAGGUGGAGAAGAAGCGCCGGCUAACUACGUGCCAGCAGCCGCGGUAAUACGUAGGGCGCGAGCGUUGUCCGGAAUUAUUGGGCGUAAAGGGCUUGUAGGCGGCUUGUUGCGCCUGCUGUGAAAACGCGGGGCUUAACUUCGCGCGUGCAGUGGGUACGGGCAGGCUUGAGUGUGGUAGGGGUGACUGGAAUUCCAGGUGUAGCGGUGGAAUGCUCAGAUAUCUGGAGGAACACCGAUGGCGAAGGCAGGUCACUGGGCCAUUACUGACGCUGAGGAGCGAAAGCAUGGGUAGCGAACAGG
rnacentral:rRNA from 1 species